UACAUUACAAGGGCUAUCUGUCUUCGACAAUAUUGAUCAAAUUAGACAAGAUCAAUAGAAUUUCAAAUCGAUCGGAGCAAUUCGAGCAUAUCAUUGGAAGCAUCUAAAUUCUACGGUGAACGUCUUCCACUAUGGUUUCAAACAAUUAUGACAUCAAAUUCCAUGUCGGAUUAUGGAUAAUCAAUAUUUUCAAAUUCCAUGUCUAUAUAAACCUGACCGCGAAAUAUCAAACGACUCCGAUUAUAACCUCACUCCCAUUUACUCUUGAAAUCGUGAGAAUUCAGUACAGUGGUUAUAUGCAGUGAUCAGAAGCAAAAAUUAGAAUUUGGGGGUUUUUCACAUACUUCAAGACUUCAAAACUGGGGUUUUAGGUUUGAGCAAUUGCAAUUCAAGAUCAGCCAGGUAUUUCCUUUUCCAUCUCUUAAUUUAGGGUUUUUGAUCUACAAAUAAUUCUCUGCAAAGUUAGGGUUUAGGAUUUUGGUUUCUUCUCGGAUUGUUUCUUAGCAAAUUGGAGAUGAGGGUUCUGAACAACCAAUUUUGGGGGUUUAAUUUCUAAGGUAUACUUUUGAAUUUAGGUUAUCCCUUAAAGACUGGAAGAAUCAAGAAAUGCACCGUAUUUUAAUGUGGAAGAUAGAAUCAGUAGGUUACCAGAUGCACUAAUUCAUCACAUCCUCUCUUUUAUUGAUACUAAAUAUGCUGUUCAAGCUAGUGUUUUGUCAAAAAGGUGGAUGGGUAUUUGGAAAUCUCUACCUUUUCUAAGAUUCAGCAGGAGGUCAUUUUCGCGUGGCAAAGAACAUGAUCAGAAGUAAAUAUCUUUUGUGUACAUGGUAUUCAUUCUUCGUGAUGACUCUGAUAUUCAGAGAUUUGUUUUACUUUUGUACAACAUUGAUAAACUCCAAGAGAUGACACAAAAUGUUAAUAGAAGCAGUUUAUAUGGUGCAACAAAUGAGAUUAUCACCUGGAUUCCUUGAGGUUCUCUCACAAGCUGCAGACUUGGUAGACUGUCAACCAACUCGCUUAUGUAAUCUACAGCAUUUGAUGCUGGAAAUGUGGUUUGUAAGAGGUUGUUUGCGAAAUAUAGCAUACUUAAGAUUUCUCCUAACAUAACUUGGAUUGGGUUAGUACUUGAAUCCAAGGAGUCAAAUUUAGCGGAUGUUGGAGAUGACUGGGAAGCAGGAUUGUCAUCGCCGGAAAUGUUGUCUCAACUCAAGUAUGUCCAGAUUGAAAAAGCGGAAGGAUGUGAUGCUGAGCUCAAACUUCUGAGUUUUUUGUUGAAAAAUGCGAAGGUUUUGGAGGAAGUUGCUAUAUUCUUUCGUUCUAGUGUUGGCUCAGCAGAUAGAGUGAAACAAGUGAGACAAUUUGGAGAUAAGCUAAGAGCACUUCCAACAGCCUCUUCAAAAAUCAAAAUAAUGUUGCUCUGACCAAAUCAUAGUAACAAUUUGAAGAUUCUGAUGUAUGUGCUGUCGUACUCGAACAUGAAAAGACCGGACUUCCUUUGCUAGAUCUAGUAGUUUGAGGUUUCUUCUUUUAGAUUUUUUUUUCUGUUUUUCUGGAGAUGUCUCCUUCUGUGAUAAACAAUGAUGAAAAUGUCUAUUCGAGACUCCGUUAAUUAAGACUGUUCUU